CAGAGGGGGCAAGCGUUGUUCGGAAUUACUGGGCGUAAAGGGCGCGUAGGCGGCCUUCUAAGUCGAACGUGAAAUCCCUGGGCUUAACCCAGGAACUGCGUCCGAGACUGAAGGGCUCGAAUCCGGGAGAGGGAUGUGGAAUUCCAGGUGUAGCGGUGAAAUGCGUAGAUAUCUGGAGGAACAUCGGUGGCGAAGGCGGCAUCCUGGACCGGUAUUGACGCUGAGGCGCGAAAGCCAGGGGAGCAAACGGGAUUAGAUACCCCGGUAGUCCUGGCCCUAAACGAUGAAUGCUUGGUGUGGCGGGUAUCGAUCCCUGCCGUGCCGAAGCUAACGCAUUAAGCAUUCCGCCUGGGGAGUACGGUCGCAAGGCUG
rnacentral:rRNA from 1 species